rnacentral:rRNA from 1 species
CCUACGGGAGGCAGCAGUGAGGAAUAUUGGUCAAUGGUCGGGAGACUGAACCAGCCAAGCCGCGUGAGGGAUGAAGGUACAGAGUAUCGUAAACCUCUUUUGUCAGGGAACAAAGGCGGGGACGUGUCCCCGGUUGAGUGUACCUGAAGAAAAAGCAUCGGCUAACUCCGUGCCAGCAGCCGCGGUAAUACGGAGGAUGCGAGCGUUAUCCGGAUUUAUUGGGUUUAAAGGGUGCGCAGGGGGUUGGUAAAGUCAGCGGUAAAAGCCCGGGGCUCAACCGCAGCCCGCCAUUGAAACUGGCAGUCUCGAGUUGGAGAGAGGUAUGCGGAAUGCGCGGUGUAGCGGUGAAAUGCAGAGAUAGCGCGCAGAACUCCGAUUGCGAAGGCAGCAUGCCGGCUCCACACUGACGCUGAGGCACGAAAGCGUGGGUAUCGAACAGGAUUAGAUACCCCGGUAGUC